UAGGGAAUCUUCCGCAAUGGGCGAAAGCCUGACGGAGCAACGCCGCGUGAGUGAUGAAGGUCUUCGGAUCGUUAAACUCUGUUAUUAGGGAAGAACAAAUGUGUAAGUAACUAUGCACGUCUUGACGGUACCUAAUCAGAAAGCCACGGCUAAUUACGUGCCAGCAGCCGCGGUAAUACGUAGGUGGCAAGCGUUAUCCGGAAUUAUUGGGCGUAAAGCGCGCGUAGGCAGUUUUUUAAGCCUGAUGUGAAAGCCCACGGCUCAACCGUGGAGGGUCAUUGGAAACUGGAAAACUUGAGUGCAGAAGAGGAAAGUGGAAUUCCAUGUGUAGCGGUGAAAUGCGCAGAGAUAUGGAGGAACACCAGUGGCGAAGGCGACUUUCUGGUCUGUAACUGACGCUGAUGUGCGAAAGCGUGGGGAUCAAACAGG
rnacentral:rRNA from 1 species